GCCGUGAAGUGAACAAAGAAAAAGAAAAAAAAAGUGUUCAUCUUUGAACAUGCUUGGCCGAAUUGAAGAAGAAAGCAAGAGAAGGUUUGGUCACCCUUGAGCUUGAAUUAAGCCCAAGAGCUUAGAGGAUCGAAGUUGGACAAGGG